AACACUAAUAUUAAACUUGAAGUAUUGGUCACCUCAGUACUGUCUCGUAACCAACAUUACUUACAUUCGUAUUAACAUUCUAUUUGUAACUGGGCAAAGUGCUUUUAAACUUUGUGCCUAUACAUUAUUCCACCAGUGUAUUAAGAAGAGACUUCAAAACAUCACGAAAUAGGAAAAUUUUAGCAGCGUCCCACCAAGGUUAAUGUUUGGUGGUGCAACGCAGAUAGCACGCCCACCUCACCUCAACAGGCUGGCUAGUCAUUGCACCACCUUUUGAAAACAGGUCUACCACUGCUUUAUUUCGAAGCACAACACGUCAUACUGCACACUCACUGUUUCAGUAUUAAUGGACACAAAGUGAGAACAAAGAUUAGCAAGAAAAUGACGUCAUUCAUCCUAUCACUUGCCCCAGUGUUGUGUUUCGGUGUCUGGCAAUGACCAGCAGUGACGCACCACGCUGUAUAAAGAUAACCUCAGCCUCGCUCAGAGUCAGUGGCACUCAGGCAGCAGAAGAGAAAGAGACAUGGGGCGUCUUCUCCUCUGCUGGGUGUCGGGGGCAGCCAUGGUGGCGGAACAGGACACGGGCGGACUUACUUUGUCCUGCCCCCGAUGACUGAGAUUCGUCCACUCACCGGGGGCAGGACCAUUUUUCUUGCCCCGGACUGACUCUUCUCACCGACGCAUGGCGAGGAAUCCUGGCCACACCCCCGCUGCGAGGCGGUCCGCAGUGUCUCCACAGAGCUGUGUAGCCACCAACACCAGGCAACCACCCAAACACACCACCACCGUCACCACAGCCCCGUCAACACGCAGCCCAUCACCACUACGACAACCACCACCUCUGUAUAUGGCCACGCCAUGGAACAAUACGGUGGUGACAGCGACUGCGUGGUGACGGAGGAUACAAGGAAAACUCUCUCUCUCUCUCUCUCUCUCUCUCUCUCUCUCUCUCUCUCUCUCUCAGCAGGGAUGGAGGCGCAGGAAUUCCUGACGGAAAAAGGAAACUCUGACCAAAGACUUUACCAUUAAGCAAUCCAUCCUAACCACUACGUACGUACACCACGCCCAUCAUUAACAAUCAUAAACUCUCUAUUAUCUUUGAAAUGUCUUAAAUUUCAUUACGUUUCUGUAUCUCAAUUCUGUGACGAAAAUCACUGAAUGUUUCAUAUUGUGUGGUUUUACACACGUACAUCCAACAUGACUUGUUCUUGUUAGGAAACCAUUAUUGAUAUGUAGCAAUAACUCUGCACAUUUUGUAACCCUGCAGUCAGUGUGUUGAAUGGUGACCAUGUAUUGGUUUUGCACUGAACACAAAUAAAACUAUUUGUUACUA